rnacentral:lncRNA from 1 species
AACCCUGCAGGACAUUCGUAUCUUCAAGAUAACUGGGGAGAAGAGGCCACAGAGAAGAUGGCCCACUUGUGUGGCUGGGCAUCCUGUGUUCCUCCCUGCUCCAGGCACCCUGAGAGCUGUGUGCUCCCCCCGACCCCCAUGUCCUAGGGUUGUUGAUCCUUCUCCUGGGCCACCAGUUGGAAAAAUUCCAAGAGUUUCAGAGUCUGUUGAGCUAAGAUACAAUCCAUGGGCUGGCCUGACAGCCUGGAAGUUUUUGGAGCACUUCCUGCCUGAGUAUAAGCACAUGGUUAUAGGUGUACAGGAAGUGCAGAGGCUUCAUCCAAACAACAGAUUUCUGACAUUAGAAUUUCAAACAAGUAAACAAAAACCCAUUGAUCCUUAUAGGGGGUUAAAGUGUUGGCUGGACCCAGCCUGGACCUAGUUAAAGGAGUUACUAGAUCACAUAAAGACUGUUGGAGACCAAGGAGACAAGAUACUUGAAGGAUUUUUUUUUUUAAAGAAAGAUGUGCUCUCACUCUUCACCAAAGUAAAAGAUUGUCAAGUAAUGUCAAGAGAAAUGGACAUAAGUGGGGCUCAUCAGAAAGCUUGAUGUGUGUCCCAAGGUAGAAGAACACAACGGCCUAACUCCCUGCUGGCAAGUCACGUGAGAGAUGAGCUAGCAAGCCACUCCUGCUGCAGAGUGAAGGAGAGCUGCUGUUGCUCUGAGUUUGUCCAGAAGAAUGUGCGUGGAUGUUUCUUCAUAGAUCAAGUGUUGGCCAAACAUGAGAGAGAGGGCUGGCCAGGGGAGCCUCGGGAGAGAAGCAGAGGUAGAAUCCUGGGCUCCUAUGUGCUGAGGAUGUGAGCUGCUGCUCAUGUGGAGAGCGCGUCUGCCUAAAUCAAGGGAACUGCAGGCGAGACACCUCCCAAGAACCCCUGAAAAGCCUCUGUGAAAUGUCUGCUUUAAAUGGUUACCAGGCCCGGAGAGCUGGAGAUCAUCUUACAACUUCAGCACUUGCUGACAACACUCCUGCCCCUGACCACUUCUUUUGCCUUCCCCCAUCCCAAACCUAGAAGAACCAGAGCUUCUAGGAGCAAGGGAAGAAGGGCCUUCCCCUUCCACAGCAUCCCACUGGCACGUGGCUUCACAGUGCACUACAGUCCACUGCAGGAUAUGAAUCCUAGAAUGGCCCCUUCACGAAGAUAGCAACCCUCAGGAAGAAGAGACAGUAGCGACAUAAGAGGGUGAUUGUGAGCAUCAAGCGAGUAAUUUGAUGAAAAGCCAUGGAACAGGACAGGACACAUGGUGAGUGUUCAGUAAAUAUUAGGAAUUGUUGUUAUUGGCAGAUGGCCCAUUAUG